rnacentral:rRNA from 1 species
GACGAACGCUGGCGGCGUGCUUAACACAUGCAAGUCGAACGAAGUGGCGAACGGGUGAGUAACACGUGGGUAACCUACCCAUCAGAGGGGGAUAACACUUGGAAACAGGUGCUAAUACCGCAUACGGAUGGAUGGACCCGCGGCCUAUCAGGUUGUUGGUGGGGAUAUGGCCUACCAAGGCGGGGACGGGUAGCCGGCCGGAGAUGGGGACCGGCAACAUUGGGACUGAGAUACGGCCCAGACUCCUACGGGAGGCAGCAGUGGGGGAUAUUGCACAAUGGGCGAAAGCCUGAUGCAGCGACGCCGCGUGGGGGAUGAAGGCUUUCGGGUUGUAAACCUCUUUCGCUAUCGAACGGGUAGGUGGAGAAGAAGCGCCGGCUAACUACGUGCCAGCAGCCGCGGUAAUAC